UACGUAGGGUGCGAGCGUUGUCCGGAAUUAUUGGGCGUAAAGAGCUCGUAGGCGGUCUGUCGCGUCGAAUCGUGAAAACUUGGGGCUUAACCCUGAGCUUGCGGUCGAAUACGGGCAUGACUGGAGUUCGGCAGGGGAGACUGGAAUUCCUGGUGUAGCGGUAGAAAUGCGCAGAUAUCAGGAGGAACACCGGUGGCGAAGGCGGUUCUCUGGGCCUUACCUGACGCUGGAGGAAGCGGAAAGCAUGGGGAGCAAACAGG
rnacentral:rRNA from 1 species